AAUGCCUAGGAAUCUGCCUGGUAGUGGGGGAUAACGUUCGGAAACGGACGCUAAUACCGCAUACGUCCUACGGGAGAAAGCAGGGGACCUUCGGGCCUUGCGCUAUCAGCUGAGCCUAGGUCGGAUUAGCUAGUUGGUGAGGUAAUGGCUCACCAAGGCGACGAUCCGUAACUGGUCUGAGAGGAUGAUCAGUCACACUGGAACUGAGACACGGUCCAGACUCCUACGGGAGGCAGCAGUGGGGAAUAUUGGACAAUGGGCGAAAGCCUGAUCCAGCCAUGCCGCGUGUGUGAAGAAGGUCUUCGGAUUGUAAAGCACUUUAAGUUGGGAGGAAGGGCAUUAACCUAAUACGUUAUUGUUUUGACGUUACCGACAGAAUAAGCACCGGCUAACUCUGUGCCAGCAGCCGCGGUAAUACAGAGGGUGCAAGCGUUAAUCGGAAUUACUGGGCGUAAAGCGCGCGUAGGUGGUUUGUUAAGUUGGAUGUGAAAUCCCCGGGCUCAACCUGGGAACUGCAUUCAAAACUGACUGACUAGAGUAUGGUAGAGGGUGGUGGAAUUUCCUGUGUAGCGGUGAAAUGCGUAGAUAUAGGAAGGAACACCAGUGGCGAAGGCGACCACCUGGACUAAUACUGACACUGAGGUGCGAAAGCGUGGGGAGCAAACAGGAUUAGAUACCC
rnacentral:rRNA from 1 species